rnacentral:rRNA from 1 species
UACGAGGGGGUGCACGUUGUCCGGAAUUAUUGGGCGUAAAGGAGCGUAUGAGCGGUCUGUCGCGUCGGCUGUGAAAACUCGGGGCUCAACUCCGAGCUUGCAGUCGAUACGGGCAGGCUAGAGUUCGGCAGGGGAGACUGGAAUUCCUGGUGUAGCGGUGAAAUGCGCAGAUAUCGGGAGGAACACCGGUGGCGAAGGCGGUUCUCUGGGCCUUACCUGACGCUGAGGAGCGAAAGCGUGGGGAGCGAACAGG